UACAGAGGCCUCGAGCGUUAGGCGGAAUCACUGGGCUUAAAGCGUGUGUAGGUGGAUGCCUAAGUACCUUGUGAAAUCCCACGGCUUAACCGUGGAACUGCUGGGUAUACUGGGUGCCUUGGGUCAUCUAGGGGCUGCCGGAACAAAUGGUGGAGCGGUGAAAUGCGUAGAUAUCAUUUGGAACGCCAACGGCGAAAGCAGGCAGCUGGGGGAUGCACCGACGCUGAGACACGAAAGCCAGGGGAGCGAACGGG
rnacentral:rRNA from 1 species